ACAGGAAGAGGAAGCUCUGCAUAUGACCCUGGUGUGACUGAGAGAUAGUUGUCAGUCAGCAUUUAGUGUCAGUCAUGGAGGUCACAGCUCUCUGUAUCCAAAUCUUGAUGAUUGAGUUUCUCUUGGUGUCAACAUUACCCGGUCAGCGUUGCACUUCUCAGAAGCCCGAUUUUCCAAUUAUCUCUCCUAACAAACUUCAGUUCUUUGAGUACGAGUCUUUCUUCAUAAGCUGUGGGGGGAACGAAGACAUGAAUGUAUGGAAAGUGGUGAGAAAACUGCAAGAAAUGAGUUCCACAAAUAAAUCAGAGGACUGCAGCAUGCCAGCUCCAUCCUGCAGAAUUGAUUAUACCUUUGAAAGA